rnacentral:rRNA from 1 species
UGCAAGUCGAACGCAAUCUUUUAACAAUGAGUGCUUGCACUCAGCGUUUUAAGUGCGAGUGGCGAACGGGUGAGUAACACGUGGGCAAUCUGCCCAAAAGUGGGGGAUAACACUUGGAAACAGGUGCUAAUACCGCAUCAACCGGCUGACCGCAUGGUCGGCCGGGCAAAGACGGCGUCAGCUGUCGCUUUUGGAUGAGCCCGCGGCGUAUUAACUAGUUGGUAAGGUAACGGCUUACCAAGGUGAUGAUACGUAGCCGAACUGAGAGGUUGAUCGGCCACAUUGGGACUGAGACACGGCCCAAACUCCUACGGGAGGCAGCAGUAGGGAAUCUUCCACAAUGGACGCAAGUCUGAUGGAGCAACGCCGCGUGAGUGAAGAAGGCCCUCGGGUCGUAAAACUCUGUUGCCGGGGAAGAACAAGUGCCGUUCGAACAGGGCGGCGCCUUGACGGUACCCGGCCAGAAAGCCACGGCUAACUAC